rnacentral:lncRNA from 1 species
UUAUUAUUUGGGUUAUUUUGUUGGUAUGGGCCCGGGCAAAAAUGGGCUUUUACAGCUGCCCCUCUUUGCUCAUUUUCGUGUAACGAGAAUAGAGCAAAGACAUCAAAAGGGCCAAUUUUGCCCGGUCUUGCCGAGUCUUGACUUUUUGGUGCUCAUCUUCUUCAAGUAGCCUUAUUCUGUUCUGCUGUGUCUCGUUGCUUCAAUCCACUUCACUGCGCUCCAGAGAAACAUGACUUAAAUCUAUUCUGCUGCAACUCCAUGGGAAUGAGAUUUGUUGUUUUCUUCGUCUGCUCCACUACUGCUUAGGGAGAUAAGACUGAAUGUUGUUUUCUUCGAUCUAUUCCACUGUUGUCCAGGGAGAUAGAACUACCAGCUUCAAUGUACUCCACUGUAAUCAGGGAGGUAAAAUCCGCCGUCUUCGACCUGCUCCACUAUUGCUUAGGGAGAUAAGAUCUGUAAUCUUCGAUCUAUUCCACUGUUGCCCAGGGAGAUAGAACUACCAGCUUCAAUGUACUCCACUGUAAUCAGGGAGGUAAAAUCCGCCGUCUUCAACCUGCUCCACUAUUGCUUAGAGAGAUAGAUCUAUAAUCUUCGACCUAUUCCACUGUUGCCUAGGGAGAUAGAACUACCAGCUUCAAUGUACUCCACUGUAAUCAGGGAGGUAAAAUCCGCCGUCUUUGACCUGCUCCACUAUUUCUUAGGGAGAUAAGAUCUGUAAUCUUCAAUCUAUUCCACUGCCAAAUACAGGGAGAUAGAGUUAUCGGCUUCAAUGUACUCCACUGUAGUCAGGGAGGUAAAAUCUGCCAUCUUCGACCUGCUCCACUAUUACUUAGGAAGAUAAGAUCUGUAAUCUUCGAUCUAUUCCACUGUUGCCCAGGGAGAUAGAACUACCAGCUUCAAUGUACUCCACUGUAAUCAGGGAGGUAAAAUCCACCGUCUUCAACCUGCUCCACUAUUGCUUAGGGAGAUAAGAUCUGUAAUCUUCAAUCUAUUCCACUGCCAAAUAUAGGGAGAUAGAGUUAUCGGUUUCAAUGUACUCCACUGUAGUCAGGGAGGUAAACUCUGCCAUCUUCGAUCUUCAAUCUAUUCCACUGCCAAAUACAGGGAGAUAGAGUUAUCGGCUUCAAUGUACUCCACUGUAGUCAGGGAGGUAAAAUCUGCCAUCUUUGAUCUGCUUCGCUGCCAAAUACAGGAAGGCAAGAUCUGCAAUCUUCAAUCUAUUCCACUGCCAAAUACAGGGAGAUAGAGUUAUCGGCUUCAAUGUACUCCACUGUAGUCACAUGGAGGUAAAAUCUGCCAUCUUCGAUCUUCAAUCUAUUCCACUGCCAAAUACAAGGAGAUAGAGUUAUCGGCUUCAAUGUACUCCACUGUAGUCAGGGAGGUAAAAUCUGCCAUCUUCGAUCUUCAAUCUAUUCCACUGCCAAAUACAGGGAGAUAGAGUUAUCGGCUUCAAUGUACUCCACUGUAGUCAGGGAGGUAAAAUCUGCCAUCUUUGAUCUGCUUCGCUGCCAAAUACAGGAAGGCAAGAUCUGCAAUCUUCAAUCUAUUCCACUGCCAAAUACAGGGAGAUAGAGUUAUCGGCUUCAAUGUACUCCACUAUAGUCACAUGGAGGUAAAAUCUGCCAUCUUUGAUCUUCAAUCUAUUCCACUGCCAAAUGCAGGGAGAUAGAGUUAUC